rnacentral:rRNA from 1 species
GUCUUUAAGAAUAUUAAUUUAAAGUCAAAUCUGCCCACUGAAUAAAUUUAAAUGGCUGCAGAAUUUUUUACUGUACAAAGGUAGCAUAAUAAUUUGUUUUUUAAUUAAAAACUUGAAUGAAAGAUUUAAUGAAAUAUAAACUGUUUCAGUUAAAUUUAAUUUUGAAUUUUUUAUUUAGGUAAAAAAACCUAAAUAAUAUUUAAAGACGACAAGACCCUGUAGAAUUUUAUUUAUAUAAAAUUAUUUUUAUAAUAAUUUUAUAGAAAUUUUAUUGGGGUAAUAAAAAAAUUUAUUUAAUUUUUUUUUAAUAUUACAUUUUAUAAAUGAAUAAUUUAUCUUAAUUUUUAAAUUAAAAAAAUUAAUUACCUCAGGGAUAACAGCAUAAUUUUUUUUGAAAGAUCUUAUUAAUAAAAAAGAUUAU